UUGAACUGGCUAUUUCACAGUCUUCUGAAAGAUUUGGUAGUCUUAAGCAUAGGGGUAUGGCUCCUUUAAGCGGCUGGAAGCGCAUCACCACGGCCGGAAGAGAGGGAGGAGAUGAGGACUCCAAGCCAGGCUGAGAUACAGAUGACUGAAAUUCCCUCUACCCAGCAUCUUGUUAGUAAAUGUACGGUCGCUGGAGGACAAGAUUGAGAACCUAAAGAUUAGAAUGAUAUCAACUGACAACAGAUGGUGUCUCUGACCGAGACGUGGCAUUGAUGUCUUGCAGAAGAUGUUAUAAAUGUUUUAAGAUUUGCCAUGGAAAUCUCUUGCUGUGAAAAUACAACAAAGACUCUACAUAGACAGUCCAAGACUGACAAACACCAAUGGCAAAAGAAGACUAACUGCAAAAUAAACCUGAGAGCAUGAAGUGUAAAGAGUCUAUGAAAGUGAAUCUGCAGGUCGUAGAAUCAAUUCCGAGUGGUGGUGAUGAUGUUAUCCGCACCGGUUAAGGAGCUUCAUGGUUGUAGGGUAAUAAUUGUUGCUGAACCUGGUGGUAUGGGACCUAAAAUUUCUCUCCCUCCUUGCCUAAGUGUCAUGGCCUGGAAUGUGGGGUAUUUGAUGAUGGGUGCUGCUGUCUUGUAUUCAAUAGUGGGGAGGGUUUUGCUUAUGAUGGACUGGGCUGUGUCCAUCAUUGCCUCUUCCAUGCCAGGCUGCGAUGCCACCAGUUGGAGUAGCCUCCAGUGUGAACCUAUAGAAGAUUUUGGUGUCGCACCGAAUCUACACAAACUUCAAAGGAAGCAGAGGUGCUGGCGUGCCAUCUUUUUGAUGACACCCGUGAUAUAUACUCAAUGAUAUAUUAACACCAACGUGGUUAAUCUACUGACCCUCUCCACCUCAAUUAAGACUGGCUCUUGGACCUCCAGUUUC